rnacentral:rRNA from 1 species
GAUUAGACCUCAAAUCAGGUAGGACUACCCGCUGAACUUAA